rnacentral:lncRNA from 10 species
AUUAAAUCUCAAAAUUGGAGCUGAUUUGUCAUGGCCUAGUUAAUAUUUUGUUUCCUCCCUACCAUAUAUAAUCCUUCAUAGUGUGUCCCUGCUGUUGUCUUUCUUCUAUUUAUACCUUUUUUUUUUUAUUUAUUGUAUUUUUUUUUUUAGGGCUAGGAUCUUGACCUGUCACCCAGGCUGGAGUGCGGUGGCGUGAUCAUAGCUCACUGCAGCCGUAAACUCCUGGGCUUAAGCAAUCGUCCUGCUUCAGCCUCUUGAGUAGCUAGCAUUAUGUUGCCCAUGCUGGUCUUGAAUUCCUGGGCUCAAGCAAUCUUCCUAUCUGGGCCUCCUGAGUUGCUGGGAUUAGGCAUGAGCCACUGUUCCCAGCCUGUUUAUAAAUUUUUAAUUAUGUCCUUUUUGAGAUAGGGUCUUGCUCUUUGUCACCCAGGAUGGAGUGCAGUGGUGCAGUCACAGUUCAUUGCAGCCUCGACCUCCUGGGAUCAAGCAAUUCUCCUACCUCAGCCUCUGGAGUAGCUGGGACCACAGGUGUGGGCCACCACAUCUGGCUAAUUUUUUUUUUCUUUUGUAGAGAUGGGGUCUCACUAUGUUGUCCUGGCUGGUUUUGAACUCCUGGCCUCAAGCAGUCCACCCACCUUGACUUCCCAAAGUGCUGGGAUUACAGGCAUGAGCCACCAUGGCUGAUAUAUAUAUGUUUAAAUAUAGAGACAGGGUCUCACUGUGUUGCCCAGGCUGGUCUUUAACUCUUGGCCUCAAGCAAUCCUCCCACCUCAGCCUACCAAGUCACUGGAAUGACAGGUGUGAGCUACCACACCUAGUUUGUUUAUACAUUUUUUAUUAGUUUUCUGGUCCACAAAGCUGCGGUAAUUACAAGGGAAUUCAAAUAUUAGGUCCUCAUGCAGACUCCAAAUCAAAGUGUGCACAGAUGCGUCCGGUACAGAUAUGACAGUUAUCUUUGAAUUUUCUCUCCCUAAUUCUUCUUUAAUGUGUGUAUAUUACAUCUACAUAGGUAAGAAAGUUAGUCUUCCUCCUGAACUUCCUUUUUCAUUAGAGUAAAAUAUUUUUUCUCAUAUUGAUUAGUGUUUAAUAGAGUCAGUAAAUACCCUUGCAUUAAUAUGCUGACAAGUAGAUUUUGACAAUUUGAAAAAAGCAAAGGAUGAAUUAAUUCCUGUGGGGUCUAUGAAUUUUAUAUUUUAAAGCAGUUAAAGUAGGGGAAAAAACCUACACACACAGGACAUUUUAUACUUGAAACUGGAAUUAUUUUAGCAAGUGAGGAUGCCAAGU